rnacentral:rRNA from 1 species
AACGAACGCUGGCGGCGUGCUUAAUACAUGCAAGUCCUACGAGAAAGUCCGACUUCGGUUGGGCGAGUAAAGUGGCGAACGGGUGAGUAACACGUGGGCAAUCUGCCUGUACGAGUGGGAUAAGCCCUGGAAACGGGGUCUAAUACCGCAUAAUAUCGCUUCGAGGCAUCUCGAUGCGAUCAAAGACGGGGUAACCUGUCGCGAACAGAUGAGCCCGCGGUCCAUUAGCAGUUGGUGAGGUAACGGCCCACCAAGGCAACGAUGGAUAGCCGGCCUGAGAGGGUGACCGGCCACACUGGGACUGAGAUACGGCCCAGACUCCUACGGGAGGCAGCAGUAAGGAAUAUUGCGCAAUGGGCGAAAGCCUGACGCAGCAACGCCGCGUGGAUGAUGAAGCUUUUCGGAGUGUAAAAUCCUUUCGACAGGAAGAAUAAUGUGUGACGUAACUGGCGCACAUCUGACGGUACCUGUAGAAGAAGUUCCGGCUAACUCCGUGCC